AGAGAGAGAGAGAGAGAGAGAGAGAGAGAGAGAGAGAGAGAGAGAGAGAGAGAGAGCACUGGAGAUAGAGAAACAGAUCUUAGGGCUGAGACAUGUAUGGCUGCUGCCUGGUGUGCAUGAGUCCCGAGUUCAAUCCCCAGCAUUGUAUAAACAGGUGCGUUGACUCGCAUCUGCAAUCCUAGCAUGCUGGAGGAUUCAAGGUCGUUCUCAGCUACACAGACUUUGAUGUGAGUCUGGGCUACAUGAGACCCUAUCUCCAAACAAACAGAUCCUUACGUGAUUGGCAGAGUUAUCAGAGAUGGACUGUAAAAUAAAGUAUUGAAGGAGCUGUGUUGGUUA